CACAUCCAACAGGCCACCAGGAAUACCAAACUGGCCAUCUGAGAAUGAGGACCUUGGAGAGGACAGACUUCCCCAGCCAAAGUACAGAGCCCUGCCAACACAGGAACAGGGGGAUCCGGUUCAAGUCUACCUUGUGUGCCCUGAUGUGACAAUAUUUUGGUGCUGGGCCAGGACUGCUUCAGUCAUCGUCCUGAUCUCCCUGUGAAGGUCCAUGUCUUCAUCUCUAUCCACAGACUGUACCACGCUGACUCUCAAGAACAUAAGAACUGCCUUGUGGAUCAAGACUAGAAGGUCCACCUCUUCAGGCAUCUUGGUUCCAACUGUGGCCAGUCAAAUGCUUCUGGGAAGCCCACAAGUAGGACAUGAAAGUCCAUCGCUGCUGCUUGUUCUUCAGCAAGUGGUCUUAAGAGGCCCACUGCCCCUGAAUCUUGGAGGUUCAAUUUAGCCAUAAUGGCCAAUAGCUGUAGAUAGACCAGUCUUCCAUGUCUUUGACUAAAGGUAAAGUGUGCUGUUAAAUUGCGGCUGAUUCAUGGCAACCAGUAUUCUCUCUAAGCUGAGUUAGUGUGAGCUAGCUCACAAUUUUUUAGCCUCUGGCUCACACAUUUUUGUCUUAGCUCAGGAAAAAUGGCCCCAGAACAAAGUAAAUUUAUGCGGUAGUUCACAAUUUUAAUGUCAGUAGCUUACAAAGUAGAAUUUUUGUUCAAAAGACUCUGCAGCUUAGAGGGAGUAUCGAUGGAGACCCAGUGAAGUUCCGCCUCAUGGGUCUUUCAAGGCAAGAGAUGAGCAGAGGUAGCUUGCCAUUCCCUUCCUCUGCAUAACAACCCUGGACUUCCUUGGUGGUCUCCCAUCCAAAUACUGAUCAUGGUCAACCCUGCUUAGCUUCCAAGCUGUGAUGAAUUCAGGCUUGUCUGGUCUAUUUGGGCUGCUCCAUAUCUUUGUCUAAUCCCCUUUUAAAGUCAUCUAAGUUAAAUGGCAGUGAGUUCCAUAAGUGUAUUUAUGCAUUGUCAGGGGAAGUAUUACCUGUUGUUUUACAUGAAUCUACUGCCAAUCCAUUUUACCAGGGGACCUGAAGUACUAG